AUUGAACGCUGGCGGCAGGCCUAACACAUGCAAGUCGAGCGGAUGAAGGGAGCUUGCUCCUGGAUUCAGCGGCGGACGGGUGAGUAAUGCCUAGGAAUCUGCCUGGUAGUGGGGGAUAACGUCCGGAAACGGGCGCUAAUACCGCAUACGUCCUGAGGGAGAAAGUGGGGGAUCUUCGGACCUCACGCUAUCAGAUGAGCCUAGGUCGGAUUAGCUAGUUGGUGGGGUAAAGGCCUACCAAGGCGACGAUCCGUAACUGGUCUGAGAGGAUGAUCAGUCACACUGGAACUGAGACACGGUCCGGACUCCUACGGGAGGCAGCAGUGGUGAAUAUUGGACAAUGGGCGAAAGCCUGGUCCAGCCAUGCCGCGUGUGUGAAGAAGGUCUUCGGAUUGUAAAGCACUUUAAGUUGGGAGGAAGGGCAGUAAGUUAAUACCUUGCUGUUUUGACGUUACCAACAGAAUAAGCACCGGCUAACUUCGUG
rnacentral:rRNA from 1 species